AUAGUAAAUUACUUAUGUGAUAUAUACAUAUAGACAAAUCGAAAAUUUUCCCCUAAAAUUUAUUUUAGGGUUCUUAUAAUAAUUAGAAGGUAUAAAAAUGAGUUCUGUAAUAAAGGUUUUUAAUAUUCUUGUUAUGGCAUUACUUCUGUCCUUUUCAAUAAUUGCAGUUGCUGAUGAUGAAACUACAGGAGAUGCAACUGCUGACGUAAUAUGUAACAUUAUUGGGUACAUCUGGAAUAUAGGUGGG